rnacentral:rRNA from 1 species
AUUGAACGCUGGCGGCAUGCCUUACACAUGCAAGUCGAACGGCAGCACGGGGGCAACCCUGGUGGCGAGUGGCGAACGGGUGAGUAAUACAUCGGAAUGUACCCAGUAGUGGGGGAUAACUAGUCGAAAGAUUAGCUAAUACCGCAUACGCACUAUGGUGGAAAGCGGGGGAUCGCAAGACCUCGCGCUAUUGGAGCAGCCGAUGUCCGAUUAGGUAGUUGGUGGGGUAAAAGCCUACCAAGCCUGCGAUCGGUAACUGGUCUGAGAGGACGACCAGUCACACUGGGACUGAGACACGGCCCAGACUCCUACGGGAGGCAGCAGUGGGGAAUUUUGGACAAUGGGGGAAACCCUGAUCCAGCAAUACCGCGUGUGUGAAGAAGGCCUGCGGGUUGUAAAGCACUUUCAGUGGGGAGGAAGAGCUUAUUGUUAAUAGCAAUGAGUUGAGACGUUACCCACAGAAGAAGCACCGGCUAACUCUGUGCCAGCAGCCCGGU